GGCCGGGCUGAGCCUGAUGCAGGAAGUCCAGACCUUUCUUAGGUUGGCCCGCCUCCACGUAGGCAGCACCGAGGUUAAAGGAACAGGCCCGGACGACCCGAUAGUCCUGCAGCUGAGGAGGAGCAGCGCAUGAUGGUGUGACCUGUUGGUGACCUUUGACCUCAGCAGUCUGACCUGUUGCCUUCAGACCGUUGUUAAAGCAGCUCAGAGCGUCUUCAGUCCGUCCUUCCUGCAGGGCUCUGUGACCAGCAGACGUUAACUCCUCGAUGUCCACCUCCUUCUGAGCCUCCUUCCUCCUCACCUCCUGCUCCCUCCUCCU